rnacentral:rRNA from 1 species
GACGAACGCUGGCGGUGUGCUUAACACAUGCAAGUCGAACGGUAAGGCCCUUUCGGGGGUACACGAGUGGCGAACGGGUGCGUAACACGUGAGUAACCUGCCCUCAUCUCUGGGAUAACAGUCGGAAACGGUUGCUAAUACUGGAUAUGAGCUUGCAAGGCAUCUUGUGGGUUGGAAAGAUUUUUUUGGUUGGGGAUGGACUCGCGGCCUAUCAGCUUGUUGGUGAGGUAGUGGCUCACCAAGGCUUCGACGGGUAGCCGGCCUGAGAGGGCGACCGGCCACAUUGGGACUGAGAUACGGCCCAAACUCCUACGGGAGGCAGCAGUGGGGAAUAUUGCACAAUGGACGGAAGUCUGAUGCAGCAACGCCGCGUGCGGGAUGACGGCCUUCGGGUUGUAAACCGCUUUCAAUUGUGACGAAGCUUUUUGUGACGGUAGCAGUAGAAGAAGCACCGGCUAGCUACGU